CCCACUGUUUCAGCAGACUGAGAGUAGCAGAGAUAUGAUUUUAUCCAGCAGGAGAGUGGCUCCAAAUAAGAAGACCACCGAGCAGGUGACAUAUGGUGCCAAAUGUAGGCUGUCAGCAGAGAAAGACUGAGAUGCAAGUAAUGAGACAAAGAGAUGAGCUUGGGUUCACAAAGGAACAUUUGGAGGAAAAAUCUCUGCAAGAGCCAUCUGGCAGAGUGCUUUCAGCCAAACCUCAUGGGGACUCAUCAGAGCCACAGGAAGAA
rnacentral:lncRNA from 1 species